rnacentral:rRNA from 1 species
AAUAUUUGAAAAUGGGCGAAAGCCUGAUCCAGCCAUGCCGCGUGUGUGAAGAAGGUCAUAGGAUUGUACCGCACUUUAAGUUGAGAGGAAGGGUUGUAGAUUAAUACUCUGCAAUUUUGACGUUACCAACAGAAUAAGCACCGGCUAACUUCGUGCCAGCAGCCGCGGUAAUACGAAGGGUGCAAGCGUUAAUCGGAAUUACUGGGCGUAAAGCGCGCGUAGGUGGUUUGUCAAGUUGGAAGUGAAAGCCCCGGGCUCAACCUGGGAACUGCUUUCAUAACUGCUGAGCUAGAGUACGGUAGAGGGUAGUGGAAUUUCCUGUGUAGCGGUGAAAUGCGUAGAUAUAGGAAGGAACACCAGUGGCGAAGGCGACUACCUGGACUGAUACUGACACUGAGGUGCGAAAGCGUGGGGAGCAAAC